ACACGUAGGGGGCGAGCGUUAUCCGGAAUUACUGGGCGUAAAGAGUGCGUAGGUGGCUUUGCAAGCGUAGGGUAUAAGGCGACAGCCCAACUGUCGUUGGCCCCGCGAACUGUAAGGCUUGAGUACAGGAGGGGAAGGCGGAAUUCCUAGGGUAGCGGUGAAAUGCGUAGAUAUUAGGAGGAACACCAGUGGCGAAGGCGGCCUUCUGGACUGUAACUGACACUGAGGCACGAAAGCGUGGGUAGCAAACAGGAUUAGAUACCCUGGUAGUCCACGCCGUAAACGAUGAGCACUAGGUGUCGGGCUCGCAAGAGUUCGGUGCCGGAGCAAACGCAUUAAGUGCUCCGCCUGGGGAGUACGCACGCAAGUGUGAAACUCAAAUGAAUUGGCGGGG
rnacentral:rRNA from 1 species